rnacentral:lncRNA from 1 species
GGCUCUCCUUGCCGUCAUAAUGACCAUCGACACUUACACUUAACACUGAGUGAGAUUUUUUUUCCGCUCUUUCUUUAGUUUUGCGGAGCAUUUAACUGUCUUUGCUUCUCACUCACUCUUACACUGCACUCACUUUUGCCGUAACCGCCUGGCUCUCCUUGCCAUCAUAUUGACCAUCGACACUUACACUUGCACUUAACACUGAGUGAGAUUUCCGCUCUUUCUUUAGUUUUGCGGGGCAUUUAAC